GACGAACCGUGCGAACGUUGUUCGGAUUCACUGGGCUUAAAGGGCGCGUAGGCGGGCGACCAAGUCCGGGGUGAAAUCUUUCGGCUCAACCGGAAGAGUGCCUUGGAUACUGGUUGCCUCGAGGGAGGUAGGGGCAUGCGGAACUUCCGGUGGAGCGGUGAAAUGCGUAGAUAUCGGAAGGAACGCCGGUGGCGAAAGCGGCGUGCUGGACCUCUUCUGACGCUGAGGCGCGAAAGCCAGGGGAGCGGAACGGG
rnacentral:rRNA from 1 species